UACGUAGGGGGCAAGCGUUGUCCGGAUUUAUUGGGCGUAAAGAGCGUGUAGGCGGCUUUGCAAGUCCGUUGGGAAAACUCGAGGCUCAACCUCGAGACGCCGGUGGAAACUGCAAAGCUAGAGUCCGGAAGAGGAGAGUGGAAUUCCUGGUGUAGCGGUGAAAUGCGCAGAUAUCAGGAAGAACACCCGUGGCGAAGGCGGCUCUCUGGGACGGUACUGACGCUGAGACGCGAAAGCGUGGGGAGCGAACAGG
rnacentral:rRNA from 1 species